rnacentral:rRNA from 1 species
CCUACGGGGGGCUGCAGUGGGGAAUAUUGGGCAAUGGGCGAAAGCCUGACCCAGCGACGCCGCGUGAAGGAUGAAGGUCUUCGGAUUGUAAACUUCUUUGAUCAGGGAAGAAAGAAAUGACGGUACCUGAAGAACAAGCCACGGCUAACUACGUGCCAGCAGCCGCGGUAAUACGUAGGUGGCAAGCGUUGUCCGGAUUUACUGGGUGUAAAGGGCGUGUAGGCGGGUAUGCAAGUCAGAUGUGAAAUCCCGUGGCUCAACUGCGGAACUGCAUCUGAAACUGCGUAUCUUGAGUGUCGGAGGGGAAAGUGGAAUUCCUGGUGUAGCGGUGAAAUGCGUAGAUAUCAGGAGGAACACCGGUGGCGAAGGCGACUUUCUGGACGACAACUGACGCUGAGACGCGAAAGCGUGGGGAGCAAACAGGCUUAGAUACCCCAGUAGUC